ACAACACUCGAACCGUCGGUCUACCGGGCAACAUCACCCGCUCAGUGGAAGAUCUUCUCUUCGUCGU
rnacentral:pre_miRNA from 1 species